GACGAACGCUGGCGGCGUGCCUAAUACAUGCAAGUCGAACGCAGUUGCGAACGGGUGCGUAACGCGUAGGUAACUGCCUCAUCGCGGGGGAUAACUAGUGGAAACGCUAGCUAAUACCGCCUACUUUGAGAUGGACCUGCGUUGUAUUAGCUAGUUGGUUAGGUAAAGGCUCACAAAGGCGACGAUACAUAGCCGACCUGAGAGGGUGAUCGGCCACACUGGGACUGAGACACGGCCCAGACGCCACGGGGGGCAGGAGGAGGGAAACUUCGGGAAUGGGAGGAAGGCUGAACGGGGAACGGCGGGGGGAGGGAGAAGGGUUUCGGAACGUUAAGCUUUGUUUUUUGAGGAGCGGUAACUAACCAGAAAGGCACGGCUAACUACGUGCCAGCAGCCGCGGUAAUAC
rnacentral:rRNA from 1 species